GACAGAGGGUGCAAACGUUGCUCGGAAUCACUGGGCGUAAAGGGCGUGUAGGCGGGAAGGUAAGUCGGGCGUGAAAUCCCUGGGCUCAACCCAGGAACUGCGUCCGAUACUGGCAGGCUCGAAUCCGGGAGAGGGAUGCGGAAUUCCAGGUGUAGCGGUGAAAUGCGUAGAUAUCUGGAGGAACACCGGUGGCGAAGGCGGCAUCCUGGACCGGCAUUGACGCUGAGGCGCGAAAGCCAGGGGAGCAAACGGG
rnacentral:rRNA from 1 species